UACGUAGGGACCGAGCGUUGUCCGGAUUCAUUGGGCGUAAAGAGCUCGUAGGCGGCUGUUCAAGUCGAACGUGAAGACUCGGGGCUCAACUCCGAGCCUGCGUUCGAUACUGGAUGGCUAGAGUCUGGUAGGGGGAUCUGGAAUUCCUGGUGUAGCGGUGAAAUGCGUAGAUAUUGCUCGGAAGGCCAGAGCCGAAGGGCCCCAUUGGUACGUAACUGACGCUGAGGCACGAAAGCGUGGGGAGCAAACAGG
rnacentral:rRNA from 1 species